rnacentral:RNase_P_RNA from 1 species
AGAGAAGAUAAAAUGUCUGCUUCGCCCCUGUGCGGGAUUAUUCCCGUACUGGAGCGGGGAGGAAAGUCCGAACACCGAAGGGCAGGAUACUUCUUAACGGGAAGUCCUGGCAACAGGAAGCUAGCUCCACAGAAACAAACCUCCCCGGAUAUUCCGGGGGAAGGGUGAAAUGGUAGUGUAAGAGACUACCAGAUUCCGGUGUGAACCGGAAUGCUCGGAAUGCCUUAUCUGGUGCAAUGCCGAAUAGGAGAGUUGGAUGGCCCGUCCUCAUGACUCUCGGGUAGGCAGCUAAAAUCGGUUCGUGGAACGAAUCUCUUAUGAGAAUAGCAAUAUCCGAUUUAGAGAAAUAGACAUUGGGCUGCUUUUUAGGCAGUCAACAGAAUUCGGCUUAUUAUCUUCUUUGACA